UGGGGAAUCUUGCACAAUGGGGGCAACCCCGAUGCAGCGACGCCGCGUGAGCGAUGAAGCCCUUCGGGGCGUAAAGCUCUUUCGACCGGAACGAUAAUGACGGUACCGGGAGAAGAAGCUGCGGCUAACUACGUGCCGGCAGCCGCGGUAAUACGUAGGCAGCAAGCGUUGUUCGGAGUUACUGGGCGUAAAGAGUGCGUAGGCGGUUUUCUAAGUUCGGUGUGAAAUCUCCCGGCUUAACUGGGAGGGUGCGCCGAAGACUGGGAAGCGGGAGUGUGGGAACGGCAGGCGGAAUUCCUGGUGUAGCGGUUAAAUGCGUAGAUAUCAGGAGGAACACCGGCGGUGUAGACGGCUUGCUAGACCAUAACUGACGCUGAGGCACGAAAGCGUGGGUAGCAAACA
rnacentral:rRNA from 1 species